GUGUGUGUAGCGGGUCGAUCAACAGGGGAGGAAAAAUGGGUGCAAACCCUAGUUCACCAAAAUCAUCAAAUUGAUGGUCGAUUCUAGCCUCAAAUCAAUGCAUGAACACAAAUUCGUGAUCACCUAAGCAUGGGGAUCGCAAGUUUGACUCUAAACAAGCUAGGUGGGAACUUGGAAAGGAAUGGGUCAAAGGGAUCAUGGAUGCGAAGAAUGAUUGCGCAGACGCGAGGUGAAUGUCAAGAGUUCCUGGAUGAAGAUCAAGCAACGUACAAGAACCGAACACAUGAAAAAGAAGCUUCCACACAUUGCCUCCCUCAACUACAUUAUGUUGUAUUAUUAUUUUUUUAAAUUGUAAAAGAUUUAAUAAACCCGUAUUUUUAUAAGUUUGUGUAGUCGUAAAUACACAUUUAAUCGUCGAUAUUUAUAUGGAAAACGUUAAAUAUUAGUAAA